GCAGGAGCUGCCUGCGGGUGACUCAGCAGCGCCAGCGCCUGCCCCGGCCUGAUAAGUGAACUUGGAAUCAGCUCCUAUCCAGUUCAAGUUGGCUAAGACCGCUGACCCUAAAACUGGGCCUGCACGGGUGUCUGAUGAAUGACCUUUUGCCAUCAGAGGGACAAAAAGUCCACUUCAGAUCAUGCUAACCACCUCCGUUAUUGAACAUGCAUCCUGUAAAGAAGCCAUGUCACUCAGCUUUAGGUUUCCUUGGUGGCGCAUGGUUAAGAAUCUGCCUGCCAAUGCAGGAGGCAUGGGUUUGAUCCCUGGUCCGGGAAGAUGUCACAUGCCAUGGAGCAACUAAGCCCGUGCACCACAACUACUGAGCCUGUGCUCUAGAGCCCACAAGCCACAAAUACUGAAGCCCGCGUGCACCUAGAGCCUGUGCUCUGCAACAAGAGAGGCCACCGCAAUGAGAAGCCUACGCACUGCAAUGAAGAGUAGCCCCCACGCUCACCGCAACUAGAGAAAGCCUGAGCGCAGCAACGAAGACCCAACA